GGAAGUAAAGUCGUAACAAGGUUUCCGUAGGUGAACCUGCGGAAGGAUCAUUAUUGUAUAACCGAGGUGCGAGGGCUGUCGCUGACCCGAAAGGUCGUGCACGCCCGAGUGCCCUCACACACAUCCAUCUCACCCCUAUGUGCACCACCGCGUGGGUCCCCCUUUGGCUUGUUCGGAGGGGGGCUUACGUUUUCACACAAACUUUGUAUGCAGUGUAGAAUGUAUUUUCUGUUUUUGCGAUCACGCAAUCAAUACAACUUUCAACAACGGAUCUCUUGGCUCUC
rnacentral:misc_RNA from 1 species